rnacentral:rRNA from 1 species
GAUGAACGCUGGCGGCGUGCCUAAUACAUGCAAGUCGAGCGAAUGGAUUAAGAGCUUGCUCUUAUGAAGUUAGCGGCGGACGGGUGAGUAACACGUGGGUAACCUGCCCAUAAGACUGGGAUAACUCCGGGAAACCGGGGCUAAUCCCGGAUAACAUUUUGAACCGCAUGGUUCGAAAUCGAAAGGCGGCUUCGGCUGUCACUUAUGGAUGGACCCGCGUCGCAUUAGCUAGUUGGUGAGGUAACGGCUCACCAAGGCAACGACGCGUAGCCGACCUGAGAGGGUGAUCGGCCACACUGGGACUGAGACACGGCCCAGACUCCUACGGGAGGCAGCAGUAGGGAAUCUUCCGCAAUGGACGAAAGUCUGACGGAGCAACGCCGCGUGAGUGAUGAAGGCUUUCGGGUCGUAAAACUCUGUUGUUAGGGAAGAACAAGUGCUAGUUGAAUAAGCUGGCACCUUGACGGUACCUAACCAGAAAGCCACGGCUAACUACGUGCCAGCCGCCGCAGUAA